rnacentral:rRNA from 1 species
AACGAACGCUGGCGGCAGGCUUAACACAUGCAAGUCGAACGCCCCGCAAGGGGAGUGGCAGACGGGUGAGUAACGCGUGGGAAUCUACCCAGUUCUACGGAACAACACAGGGAAACUUGUGCUAAUACCGUAUACGCCCUACGGGGGAAAGAUUUAUCGGAAUUGGAUGAGCCCGCGUUGGAUUAGCUAGUUGGUGGGGUAAGUGCCUACCAAGGCGACGAUCCAUAGCUGGUCUGAGAGGAUGAUCAGCGACACUGGGACUGAGACACGGCCGAGACUGCUACGGGAGGCAGCAGUGGGGAAUAUUGUACAAUGGGCGCAAGCCUGAUCCAGCCAUGCCGCGUGAGUGAUGAAGGCCUUAGGGUUGUAAAGCUCUUUCAGUAGGGACGAUAGUGACGGUACCUACAGAAGAAGCCCCGGCUAACUUCGUGCCAGCAGCCGCGGUAACAC